AAACCGUUCCCGAGGAUCUAUUGGAGGGCAAGUCUGGUGCCAGCAGCCGCGGUAAUUCCAGCUCCAAUAGCGUAUAUUAAAGUUGUUGUGGUUAAAAAGCUCGUAGUUGGAUUUCGGCGGGUAGUGGUCGGUUUGAAUUGCUUCAACACUGGCUUUUUUACCCGUGUGUUUUGCCAGAAUUUAACGGGUGAUCUUCGCCGAUUGUCCGUUAGAACUGGCAGGUUUACUUUGAAAAAAUUAGAGUGCUCAAAGCAAGCUUGAUUGCUUGAAUAUUCGUGCAUGGAAUAAUAGAAUAGGAAGUCGUUUCUAUUUUGUUGGUUUUCGGAAAUCGACUUAAUGAUUAAUAGGGAUAGUCGGGGGCAUUUGUAUUCAAACGACAGAGGUGAAAUUCUUGGACCGUUUGAAGACAAACUACUGCGAAAGCAUUUGCCAGGAAUGUUUUCAUUAAUCAAGAACGAAAGUUAGAGGUUCGAAGGCGAUUAGAUACCGCCCUAGUUCUAACCAUAAACGAUGCCAGCUAGCGAUCUGCCGGUGCUUGAUUUUCUGGCCCGGCAGGCAGCUUCCGGGAAACCAAAGCUUGUGGGUUCCAGCGGAAGUAUGGUUGCAAAGCUGAAACUUAAAGGAAUUGACGGAAGGGCACCACCAGGAGUGGAGCCUGUGGCUUAAUUUGACUCAACGCGGGAAAUCUCACCAGGCCCGGACACCAGAAGGAUUGACAGAUUGAUAGCUCUUUCUUGAUUUGGUGGGUGGUGGUGCAUGGCCGUUCUUAGUUGGUGGAGUGAUUUGUCUGGUUAAUUCCGAUAACGAACGAGACUCUGUCCUGUUAAAUAGAUCCAACCUAGUUGUAGGGUUGGAAUGUCUUCUUAGAGGGACUGGUGAUUAUUAGUCACACGAGAUUGAGCAAUAACAGGUCUGUGAUGCCCUUAGAUGUUCUGGGCCGCACACGCGCUACACUGAAGUGAUCAGCUAGUUUUUCCCUCUCCGAGAGGAGCGGGUAAACUGUUGAACCCACUUCGUGGUAGGAUCGGAGCUUGCAAUUAUUCUCCGUGAACCAGGAAUUCCCAGUAGGUGCAAGUCAUAAGCUUGCAUCGAUUACGUCCCUGCCCUUUGUACACACCGCCCGUCGCUACUACCGAUUGAGUGUUUUAGUGAGGACCUCGGAUUGCUUGCCUGGCGGUUAACGCUGCCUAGCUGGCGAAAAGACGUCCAAACUGUAGCACUUAGAGGAAGUAAAAGUC
rnacentral:rRNA from 1 species